UCAGAACCUCUCCGAAAACCUCUCUGAAUAAUCAAGGAUUCUUCAUCUUCAUCGAUCAUCUCCGGCCGAUUCAACUGAAAUCGGCGACAACCAUCCCCGAUUCAGCAUCUCCAUCGGUCGAUUCAGCACAUCCAUCGAUCAUCUCCAGCUGAUUUCAACAAAAAUCGACGACAAUCGUUCUCGAUUCAACAUCUCCAUCAGGCGAUUCAGAAAUCUCCAUCCGCCGAGAUCGACAUUUCUUCAGCCUAACCCGAAAUCAGCGUCAAUUCGAAAUGGUUGAUACAUGCAAAUCGUCGACCGAAGGUGAAGGACGCCUAUUACGUUCUGGCCGAACGUCUGGUUCAGCAAAGCGGAGGAAGGUCAUCGUAGGCGUCAAAUAUACUCGUAGGUCAGUAGCUAAAUCACAGUCGGUGGAUGAAUCAAAACACAAGAAAAGUUCGUUUGAUGUUCAAUACUGCAAGCCAAAUCCCUAUACCAGAAGGUGAAGAUAACACAGGGGAAAAUCCUCUAACUCACAACGGGGUGAAAAAUCAAAUCGGAGGAGAGGGAUGAAGUGUUUCGGAAGAUGUAGUUGAGGCAUGGUAACAUGCCGAUGAGGAAAUUUGUGCAAUCACUGGAUGGGCCAUCCCCACGCCUACAAUUUAUGCCUACAAAUUUAGUUCAUUAUAACAACAAUUUAGUUCAUUCAGCUGUGUUAUUACUUUAUUAUAACAACAAUUUAGU